rnacentral:rRNA from 1 species
AUGAUGCAUGUAAUGGCAGAGUUCUAUGGAUCUGAGAUGAUGGUGCCGUUCGGACCAAAGGCAAUAACAAACCUUUGUACAAGUUUCCGUAGAGAUGACACAAAGGAGGGUGAUCUGAUUGAGACAAUUGCGCACUUCAAGGAUAUACAAAAAACCGAUCCAGACUUCUUCUAUAAGGUGAAAUAUGAUGAAGAGGACAGAGUUGUCAACAUAUUUUGGGUGGACGGCUUAGCUCGAAAAGCUUAUGCAGAGGCGUACCACGAUUGCAUAUCGUUUGACACCACCUACAUGACCAACUUGUACAAUAUGUCAUUCGCGCCCUUCAUAGGAAUAAACCGACAUGGCCAAUCUUUCAUGCUGGGUUGCGCGUUUGUGAGGCAGGAGUUGGCAUCGAGCUUUGAUUGGGUCUUUGGAGCAUUCCUAGAGGCUAUGGAUGGCAAACCUCCUGACAACUUCAUCACCGAUCAGGAUGGUGCGAUGAGGCAGUCAAUAUAG